AACGCACAUUGCGCCCCCUGGCAUUCCGGAGGGCAUGCCCGUUCGAGCGUCAUUACACCACUCAAGCCUCGCUUGGUCCUGGGCGACGGGGUCUCCCCCCGCGCCCCAAUGUCCCGGUGGGACGACCUUCAAAUCUCGGCGUUGUGGCAACAAAUUCGCCGGCGAGAGGAGGCGUUCGGCCGCCAACAUAUUUCGUUAAGGUUGACCUCGGAUCGGGUAGGGAUACCCGCUGAACUUAA
rnacentral:misc_RNA from 1 species